rnacentral:piRNA from 1 species
UAGACCAACCCUCAACACAAAAGCUGCAGCA